rnacentral:rRNA from 1 species
CAGUCGCCACGGUAACACGGAGGGUGCAAGCGUUAUCCGGAUUUAUUGGGUUUAAAGGGUCCGUAGGCGGAUCUGUAAGUCAGUGGUGAAAUCUCACAGCUUAACUGUGAAACUGCCAUUGAUACUGCAGGUCUUGAGUAAAUUUGAAGUGGCUGGAAUAAGUAGUGUAGCGGUGAAAUGCAUAGAUAUUACUUAGAACACCAAUUGCGAAGGCAGGUCACUAAGAUUUAACUGACGCUGAUGGACGAAAGCGUGGGGAGCGAACAGGAUUAGAUACCCGCGUAGUCCCUGUCUCUUAUAA